rnacentral:lncRNA from 1 species
GGGCGCCCCCUGUCCGCACGGAGGAGCCGAAGUCCCGCAGGGUGGGGUCCCCGCCUGCGCCGAGAGGGCCACCUGGUCGAGAGAACAGGCGACACGGAAACCUGAGAAACUCCUCUGUCUGGUGCACCUAACCCUCUUCCUCAUAAAGUGCACACGAACUCUGGUUUUUCCGUUGCAAAUUUUGCUUUCUACAUAGACCAUACCAUUCGUUGCUCUCUGAGGAUGAGCUCCUGGCUUCCCAGUCCAGCAGAAGUAUCUACAUCUAUUUCUGGAAAGGACCUGAACUUGGCUUCUCGUCCUUCUGGAAAGUGAGGCGAAAAUGCCAGGCUGCGCAGCUAUCCUGAGGCCCGGCCUGGAACCUGGCUAGCCACCCAGUCCUGAUACCUCAUCUCCUUUCUGUUGGAUAAAGUCAUUGGAUAAGAUCCCCCAGGGUCUUCUUAAUACUGAACAUCUGUUCAUAAUCACAUAAGUGACCAAGUAUAGUGGAAAACCCGAAUGGUCAACUGAGCUGAGCAGUGGGAGAGAGCGCAGGUGGACUCUCCCUUGCCAGCCUUGAGGAAGGAGCUGCCAUGUUGGAGGCUACCCUAUGGAGAAGCCCAUGUAGCAAGGACAUAAGGGUGGCUGGUGGCCCAGACAGAAAGGAGCUGAGGCUCUCGGCCCAACAGCCUGAAAAGAACUGAAGUUACACCCACAAUGACAUGACUUUGGAAGCAGAUCCCUGAGUCUUCAGAUGAGACCUCAGAACUGGCCAACACCUUGAUUGAAGCCCUAAUGAGAGACCCUGAAGUAGAGGGCCCUCCUAAGCCAUGCCUGGAUCCGUGACUCAUAGGAACUGUGAGGCUGCAGGUAACUGUAACCACAGAAAACGAAAGGGCAAAGAGGAGGACUGCUGUAUAACAGACUCUCAAAGGGACCUGGACAAUGCAUGAUUCGACAGUGCUUCUGUUUUGCCUAUGCUCUUGUAGUGAACACCUCCCAGGUUCAAAUUAUUCUCCUGCCUCAGC